GAGGAUGCAGCUCAGUGGUAAGAGUGUGUGCUUAGCAUGCACAAGGUCCUGGGUUCAAUCCCAGUAGCUCCA
rnacentral:tRNA from 1 species